CGGGGACGGGUGAGUAAUGUUCGGUAGAACCGCCUGAUGGGGGAGGGGAAUCACUGGAAACGGUAGCUAAUACCGCAUAACGUCGCAAGACCAAAGAGGGGGACCUUCGGGCCUCUUGCCAUCGGAUGUGCCCAGAUGGGAUUAGCUAGUAGGUGGGGUAACGGCUCACCUAGGCGACGAUCCCUAGCUGGUCUGAGAGGAUGACCAGCCACACUGGAACUGAGACACGGUCCAG
rnacentral:rRNA from 1 species